AUGGCAUUGAACUUCUGUUGCACAUACCUGCAGGAAAAUUUGGAACGCAAGUACUACAAAGCCAGUUGUAGACCCGGCUGGAGAGAACUCAGGGUCCAUCCACAUCCAUCUCGACUCGAAGCAACCAGGGGAACACGAAAGCCAGUUGAAAGACUUUUGUUGCAGAGCCAGAUCACAAGCAUGGACAGGACAGGAAAUGUGGUAUUGGAUAUUGAGAGCCUGCCUCAACAACCCGAUAAAUGCUGCACUGGAAGUCCAAAGAUGACUAGAGCCCUGUCGCGUAAGGGUCCAAACCGCAUGGAGAGGAGGGGCGGUGAAGAGCAGGAGCCAGAUGACUUGGCAAAAAAAGUUAUCAUUAAAGUUGUUCCAUCUCAGUUGGAGCAGAUCAAGUUGCCGCUAGUGCACAACAAAACUUUGGUCACUCCACAUUGCACUGCCACCGCACCUGUUCUGACUGACUCUGUUGAAGGAAGGUCCAAGAGAUUUAAUCGACUCACGGCGUUUCAUCCGCGCAGAAUUCUUCUCUUCUUUGCAACUUUGUCGAGCGUGGGGACGAUGGUGCUGAUAUACUUCACCCUCGGCAUCACCGGCAAGGUGGAAGCAUAG
rnacentral:rRNA from 1 species